UUAUUUUUAUUUAUUUUUUUAUUUUUUACAUUUUGUUGGUGGGAAGGGGAACAAAAUUUAACAAAUUGUGAUAAAUUGUUCUCUCAACAUUGGAUGCAAGAGGAUGGUAAGUUGUGUAAUUAAGAUGACUGUCAUCUUCUAUUAACUCAGUCUUCAGUUAUAGAUGGCUGUUUGGAGUACUGAUUUCUGUAAGUUCUCUGCCACUGAAUUCUGUCAAGAUUUAAGGCACAAUAAUCUGCCAAUGCUUUAUUAUCAAAGUGGUUAUGAGUAAUCAAAAAUAAGAUUGCUUAGAUAAUUCCUGAGACCGCUAACCUUUUUCUUUGGUGUCUGAAUUCCACUAUCCUGUUGUGCUAGUGAUUGGUCUUGGUAUAAGGAAUCAAAUCAACCACCAUUCCGGUCUUGUAUUAAUUUGAAAUUAUAAAAUCUGUGCCAACAUCAAGUUCUAAACUUGUCCAUGUAAUUAAG
rnacentral:misc_RNA from 1 species